UGCUUACCCUGUUUAUCUCGUGUAUGUGUGUUUUUUUAAGUGGGGGGCGCAGAGGAAGUGGUGGUGGUGGUCAUAGCCGCCAGCUAUACCUCGUUUCGGAGGCAAGACACAGAGACCAUUUAUUUCUUGUAUCUGUAAAUUUAUCUCCAGUCUCUUCUCUGGGUGGUCUAUGUGUACUCCACACGUGGUUGUCCUGCAAUAGGUCAUCACAAACAGUACAAGUUUGGUCAGAUUGGAUCAGAGACUCUUUUCACUGUUUACCGUUGAAAUUUCGUACUCUUCACUAACAGUCUACUUCUAACAUGUUCUCUCCCUCCCAGCACCGCUCUCUUGCACAGCAGUGCCAUACCAUAUGUAGCAAGCACCGUGUACACAUGAGGUCAUUACUUUUAUGAAUACUUAAUUCCUUGGUGCCUGGAAAGGUUUUGGAUGGAUUAUGUACAUCCCUCUUGUUUGAAAGAUGUGCCUGUUUCU
rnacentral:lncRNA from 1 species